rnacentral:rRNA from 1 species
AACGAACGCUGGCGGCAUGCCUAACACAUGCAAGUCGAACGAGACCUUCGGGUCUAGUGGCGCACGGGUGCGUAACGCGUGGGAACCUGCCUUUAGGUUCGGAAUAACUCAGAGAAAUUUGAGCUAAUACCGGAUGAUGUCUUCGGACCAAAGAUUUAUCGCCUUUAGAUGGGCCCGCGUUGGAUUAGCUAGUUGGUGGGGUAAAGGCCUACCAAGGCGACGAUCCAUAGCUGGUCUGAGAGGAUGAUCAGCCACACUGGGACUGAGACACGGCCCAGACUCCUACGGGAGGCAGCAGUGGGGAAUAUUGGACAAUGGGCGAAAGCCUGAUCCAGCAAUGCCGCGUGAGUGAUGAAGGCCUUAGGGUUGUAAAGCUCUUUUACCCGAGAUGAUAAUGACAGUAUCGGAAGAAUAAGCUCCGGCUAACCCCGUG